rnacentral:tRNA from 1 species
UGGGGCGUAGCCAAGUGGUAAGGCAGCGGACUUUGACUCCGUUACUCGUAGGUUCGAAUCCUCCCGCCCCAG